rfam:Eimeria mitis, Houghton, WGS project CBTT01000000 data, contig: Emh_contig4550_1
CUGCCGGCACUGACCGCGUUGUGACCGUUGGUCUGCGUACACAGUGAACAGCUAACUCAGAACUGGAGCGGACGAGGGGAAUCCGACUGUUUAACUAUAAGAAAGCAUUGCGAUGGCCGCAAGCGGUGCAAUGUGAUUUCUGCCCAGUGCUCUGAAUGCGAAUGUGAUGAAAUUCAAUCAAGCGCGGGUUAACGGCGGACGUAACUAUGACGUUCUUAAGGUAGCCAAAUGCCUUUUCAUCUAAUUAGUGACGUGCAUGAAUGGACUAAGGAGAUUCCCACUGUCCCUAUCUACUAUCUAGCGAAACCACAGCCAAAGACCUUAAG